UACGUAGGCAGCGAGCGUUGUUCGGAGUUAUUGGGCGUAAAGAGUGCGUAGGCGGUUUUCUAAGUUUGGUGUGAAAUCUCCCGGCUUAACUGGGAGGGUGCGCCGAAGACUGGAAGGCUUGAGUAUGGGAGAGGUAAGCGGAAUUCCUGGUGUAGCGGUGAAAUGCGUAGAUAUCAGGAGGAACACCUGCGGUGUAGACGGCUUACUGGACCAUAACUGACGCUGAGGCACGAAAGCGUGGGUAGCAAACAGG
rnacentral:rRNA from 1 species